rnacentral:rRNA from 1 species
AUGACUUGCAACCCCAAUUGGGAUGAAAUAAUUAGUGAGCUAGAGCCUGGACAAACUCCACAGGAUCGUCCUGAUCUCAUUGUAAGAGUAUUUCGAGCAAAGUUGGAAGACCUCAAGGUACAACUUUUUAAAAGGCACAUUCUUGGUAAGGUGGCAGCAUAUGUAUAUGUCGUUAGUUCCAUAAAAGAGGUCUACCACAUGCUCAUUUCCUCCUAA